rnacentral:rRNA from 1 species
AUACGGAGGGUGUAAGCGUUACUCGGAAUCACUGGGCGUAAAGCGCGCGCAGGCGGCUAUUUAAGUUGGAUGUGAAAGCCUACGGCUCAACCGUAGAACUGCAUCCAAAACUAUUUAGCUAGAGUGUGGGAGAGGAAGAUGGAAUUAGUUGUGUAGGGGUAAAAUCCGUAGAGAUAACUAGGAAUACCAAAAGCGAAGGCAAUCUUCUGGAACACUACUGACGCUGAGGCGCGAAAGCGUGGGGAGCAAACGGGAUUAGAUACCCCAGUAGUCC